rnacentral:lncRNA from 10 species
UUAUAUUCGUGGUAAGUUUAUAUUUACAUCAGUGUAAUCACUAGCUUAAAGUGUCUGGUGGAUUUUCCUGCUGGCAGCUUUGGUGAGUGAGGAACUUUAUGCUCCAACAAUGGAAAGCCCAAGUCUAGCUUUCCUUGCAGAGCUAAAAGAAUGGGUUCCGGGAAUGUCACAGCACUGACGUUUUCAUUAGUCUGGAAACUUCAUCACUGGAGUUGGUGGAAGUAAGAUUUAAGUCUCAGAUGUGACUUCUACAGUGAAAAUACCAAAGAGCCUUCCUAUGAAUAAUUAAAUGGCUGUACUGAGCCAGAGCAACAGCAAAAGAUAAAAAGCACCCGUUUGUCAUCAGCCGGACUUAAAGGGGCUGAGUCCGGUUUUUAUUCAACCUGCUUCAAGUGCAGCUGUGUCAGCCUUCACUCUUUUAUUGGCAGGAAGGGAAGCUUUUGGUAUCAGAUGUUCUUCCACAGGAGAACUGCUUGUUUGCUUAGUGAACCUUUUGCAGCUUCUAGAGGCCACCUGUGUUCCUUGGUUCAUAGCCCCACAUCACUCUGACCUCUGUUUCCAUCAUCACGUCUCCUUUUCUGACUCUGAUCCUCCUGCUUGGCUCCUAUAAGGACCCAUGUGAUGACAUUGUACCCACCUGGAUAAUUCAGAAUAAUCUUCCCAUCUCAAAUCUUUAAUUUGAUCACAUCGGCAGUCACUUUUGUCCUGGUAAGGUAAUGCCCACAGAUUCUGAGGAUUAGGGUGUGGUCUUGUUUGGGAAACAGGACAUUACUCAGUUUACCACAUCUUCUUUCAAUUUCACUGCUCUAGGCUGGGCACAGUGGCUCACGCCUGUAAUCCCAACACUUUGGGAGGCUGAGGCGGGCAGAUUGCUUGAGUCCAGGGGUUCAAGACUAGCCUGGGCAACAUGGUGUGAUCUCAUCUCACAGAAAAAUAUAAAAAUUAGCUGGACAUAGUGGAGUGCACCUGUGUCCCAGCUACUCUGGAGGCUGGAGUGGGAGAAUUGCUUGAGCCCAGAAGGUCGAGGCUGCAGUGAACUGAGAUUGUGCCACUACACUCCAGCCUGGGUGACACAGACCCUGUCUCAAAAAAAAAAAAAAAAAAAAAGAAAAGAAAAUUUCUGCUCUAUUUUGGCUGAAAUGAUAGCAGCUUCCAUUGACUAGUGCUAGCCCUAUGAGGGGGUUUAGAAAUGACAGAAAAUGCACUGGGUGUAGCAGAUGCAGACCGCACUGUUAUCCUUGCCCUUA